GGGCAUAACACUAGUCAGUCAGCUCUGAUCAAAUUAUUGUUGGGGUAAAAUUUCCAGACCAAAAACCCUAAUCCCCUUUUCAGUAAAUAGAAGUAGUACUAGCUGAACAGAGUUCCUCUUUGGUUCUCCUCCUCCAUUACUGCAUUCGAAUUUUCGACAAUGUUCUCAACUGCAGCAAUCAAUGAUACGGAGUGCAAAUGAUCAGAGGAUCUGACGGCUUGGAUUUAAAAAGAAAGAAA